rnacentral:rRNA from 1 species
ACGCUCGACACCUACUGGAGGCAGCAGUGGGGAAUAUUGCACAAUGGGGGAAACCCUGAUGCAGCGACGCCGCGUGAGCGAAGAAGUAUUUCGGUAUGUAAAGCUCUAUCAGCAGGGAAGAAACUGACGGUACCUGACUAAGAAGCACCGGCUAAAUACGUGCCAGNCGCGNGUAUNGNGGCGGNGUGACGAG